GAGAAGGGAUGACACAGUAGGAUAAGCUAAGCACACUGUUGGUUAUGUGUGCCCAAGCAUUGAGGCAGUCAAAGUAGGCAAAUCCGCUUUGAUAAUGCUGGGAUGUGAUGGGGAGCGAAAUUUAGUAGCGAAGUAGCUGAUUUCACACUGUCAAGAAAAGUCUCUAUCGAGGUUAAAGGUACCCGUACCGCAAACCGACACAGGUGGGUGAGGAGAGUAUCCUAAGGCCAGCGAGAGAACUGUUGUUAAGGAACUCGGCAAAAUGACCCCGUAACUUAGGGAUAAGGGGUGCCACCAUCAGGUGGCCGCAGAGAAUAGGCCCAAGCGACUGUUUACCAAAAACAUAGGUUUCUGCUAAGUCGCAAGACGAUGUAUAGGAGCUGACGCCUGCCCGGUGCUGGAAGGUUAAGGGGAUCUGUUAGAGCAAUCGAAGCAGUGAACUUAAGCCCCAGUAAACGGCGGCCGUAACUAUAACGGUCCUAAGGUAGCGAAAUUCCUUGUCGGGUAAGUUCCGACCCGCACGAAAGGCGUAACGAUUUGGGCACUGUCUCAACAACAGACUCGGUGAAAUUGUAAUUCCGGUGAAGAUGCCGGAUACCUGCGACAGGACGGAAAGACCCCAUGGAGCUUUACUGUAGCUUGACAUUGGGUCUUGGUACUACAUGUACAGGAUAGGUGGGAGGCUUUGAAACCAGGACGCCAGUUUUGGCGGAGCCAUCCUUGGGAUACCACCCUUGUA
rnacentral:rRNA from 1 species